AGAGUUUGAUCCUGGCUCAGGACGAACGCUGGCGGCGCGCCUAACACAUGCAAGUCGAGCGAUGAAAGUUGUUCAGAUCCUUCGGGUGACGAACUUCUGGAUUAGCGGCGAACGGGUGAGUAACGCGUGAGGAACCUGCCUCUCACAACGGGAUAGCCUCGGGAAACCGGGAUUAAUACCGUAUAAGACUCCGACAUCUCCUGGUGAUGAAGUCAAAGUGCUAGCGGUAAGAGAUGGCCUCGCGUCUGAUUAGUUAGUUGGUGGGGUAACGGCCUACCAAGACGACGAUCAGUAACCGGCCUGAGAGGGUGAACGGUCACAUUGGAACUGAGACACGGUCCAAACUCCUACGGGAGGCAGCAGUGGGGAAUCUUGCACAAUGGGGGAAACCCUGAUGCAGCGACGCCGCGUGAGCGAUGAAGGUUUUCGAAUCGUAAAGCUCUGUCCUAUGGGAAGAUAAUGACGGUACCAUAGGAGGAAGCCCCGGCUAACUACGUGCCAGCAGCCGCGGUAAUACGUAGGGGGCGAGCGUUGUCCGGAAUUACUGGGCGUAAAGGGUUCGCAGGCGGCAUGGCAAGUCCGAUGUAAAAGGCGAAGGCUCAACCUUCGUAAGCAUCGGAAACUGUCAAGCUUGAGUGAAGGAGAGGCAAGUGGAAUUCCUAGUGUAGCGGUGGAAUGCGUAGAUAUUAGGAGGAAUACCGGUGGCGAAGGCGACUUGCUGGACUUCAACUGACGCUGAGGAACGAAAGCGUGGGUAGCAAACAGGAUUAGAUACCCUGGUAGUCCACGCCGUAAACGAUGAGUGCUAGGUGUCGGGGGUCAAACCUCGGUGCCGUCGUUAACACACUAAGCACUCCGCCUGGGGAGUACGUGCGCAAGCAUGAAACUCAAAGGAAUUGACGGGGACCCGCACAAGCAGCGGAGCAUGUGGUUUAAUUCGAAGCAAGGUGGUGCAUGGUUGUCGUCAGCUCGUGUCGUGAGAUGUUGGGUUAAGUCCCGCAACGAGCGCAACCCUUACUUUUAGUUGCCAGCACGUAACGGUGGGAACUCUAAAGGGACUGCCGAUGAUAAAUCGGAGGAAGGUGGGGAUGACGUCAAAUCAUCAUGCCCUUUAUGUCCUGGGCUACACACGUGCUACAAUGGUCGGUACAGAGGGCAGCGACAGAGCGAUCUCAAGCGAAUCUCAAAAAGCCGAUCCCAGUUCGGAUUGCAGGCUGCAACUCGCCUGCAUGAAGUCGGAGUUGCUAGUAAUCGCAGAUCAGAAUGCUGCGGUGAAUGCGUUCCCGGGUCUUGUACACACCGCCCGUCACACCAUGGGAGUUGGCAAUACCCGAAGCCAGCGAGCCAACCGUAAGGAGGCAGCUGUCGAAGGUAGGGUUAAUGACUGGGGUGAAGUCGUAACAAGGUAGCCGUAUCGGAAGGUGCGGCUG
rnacentral:rRNA from 1 species